UGCCCAAUUUUUGCCAAGGUUUUUGCAAGGACGUUUUGUGAGCUAUAACUGAGUCAGCAGCGGGCAGCCUACUGCCUAGCUAAGAAGAAGCGAAGGUGUGUUUCAUAAUGGCAUCGGUAGAGUCUCAAAAGCUGAAAGUGAUGCUUCUACGCUCAGAGUCAUCUGGACCAGACAAAUAUGUGUCUGUGCUGCAUGGAAAUGGAUGUGAUGUGUAUACUGUGCCCACUUUGGACUUUGUGUAUCAAAACACAGAUAAUCUUUUGGAGCAGCUGAAUGCUCCUUCAUCAUACUCCGGUAUUGUUUUCACCAGUCCAAGAGCAGUCCUGGCUACCAGUGAGGUGAUGGGAGAUCACCACAAAGUACAAUGGAUGAAGAAGAUGUGUUUUGUGGUUGGAGAAAGGACUGGAUGUUUGGUUCGUGAAAAGUUUGGUUUCAACCACACAGGCAGUGACUCUGGUGAUGCCUCAGGCCUGGCUGACAAAAUUGUGACAAUGAUGACAGGUCAAAAUCUGCCCUUGUUGUUUCCUUGUGGCAAUAUGAAGAAGGAAACUCUUCCCAAGAAACUUAAAGAAGCUGGCAUUCAGCUGCAUUCCUGCACAGUAUAUGUCACUCAAGAACAUCCAGAUCUCAAAAGAAAACUGGAAGAAUAUCUGGCUUUAAAGCCCGACUUCGUUGUCUACUUCAGUCCUUCUGGUGUAAGCUUUAGUCACCUGGUUUUGAAGCAGUCUGAUUGCUUUGAAAGCAUAAAGCAUGUAUCUAUAGGUCCCACGACCAGAGAUGCACUGGAGAAGAGUGGGAUACAAGUGUUUGCAUCUGCAGAGAAGCCAUGUCCUGAUGCUGUUCUGCUAGCUAUCAGGGGGUCAUGAUUGGAGAAUGGGUGAAAACUGAAGUAAAGUGAAAUGCAAAAGGUGACUAUGAUUUUUUUUUUGAAUAAUUUAGUCAGAAAAGUUUUCCACAUUUGCGAUGGAUGUCAAACUUAUCAUCAGGGCUUAUAACAAAUGAGUUUUCCUGGUGGUUAUUCCUUGCUGUUGGCCCCUUUUUUAUCCUCAUAUUUGGGGUUGAACUAUGCAUAGCAACUGUGAUACGAGUCAUGUUGUAAAUAAAGGUGUUUGCUUUU